GACAAACAAAAGUAGCGUCGUCCCCACCGACCCAGUUGUCAGUGGCAACAUAUAGGAAUCGUGUACAUUUCUUCGUUUCUUCUUUGCUGUUUUCAGUGAGUGUUUUGUUUUCUCUUUGUCCUUGAUCUCGACGAUGUUGUCGUGCUCAUUACUUUACUGAGACGUCUCUUGUGACUGUAGCCAGUGUCAUGGAGGAUUUUAUUGGCGUGACAAGGUAGAUCGCCGAGAUCGAGCGUGAAAAACGCUCUGCAUUAGUAGCUCCUGUAGAAUGUUUUCUGGGUUGGCGUAUCCAUGGUCAACAAAACCAAGGUGCAAGACAGCAUGAGAGAUCGUGUAAACGAUGUGAACUCCAAAAGAUAAUCUGGCCAAAUUUAUUGUAACUAGAGAGUGCAAUCGUGCACUGCUUGGAGCCCAUCCCAAUGUCAUCACAUGGCUGUGGUGACUAGUGUAUAUCUGGGAGAAUUUUUCCUCGACUGAUACGGAGUGCAGGUGGAUCGAUUAUGAGAAAUGCGAACAUGUGAAGUUCAAGGCUAGAUGCACUUCACAUUCGGCGUGCGAUCUCAGCGUCUGGGACCUGAUGAAGUCUUGGUUGGAUGAUUAUUCAAGCCUGAUACUACUCGACACACCAAUGUUCAUGUCAAUGUAAUUUUUUCAGAGCUGCACUAUUUACGUGUUGACGCUUACUUCGGUGUUAGCGUGUUUCCCCCGGAUUGUUUCUAUCAUCAUGA